GGAGACUGAUGAGGACGAGGAAGUCAUCUACAAAAUCGAAGUUCCGGCGAACAGAUACGACUUGCUUUGCCUCGAAGGGCUUGCUCAGGCCCUACGUGUAUUCAAUAAGCAGGAGGAGACACCUCAAUAGAGUCUUCGUAACAUCAGCAGGGGAUCAAUGCUUAAGAUGCAUGUAAAACCAGAGACCUCACAAAUCCGUCCAUACAUUGUUUCUGCUGUCUUAAGAGGGAUAACAUUUGAUGAAGCCAGUUAUAACAGCUUCAUUGAUCUUCAAGACAAGCU